CCAAAAAAAAAAAAAAGUCACUUUAGCUCUUUGGUCGCCUAAUCUAAAAUCUCCAUUGGUGGUCCUGUGACUCAUGGAGCAUGACACAGGGGAGGCAUAACCCGCAUUCCUGUAGGCCCAGCCAUGCCUCCUCCCUCCUUCCUAACUCCACUAGGAAGCAGUGGCUCUGUUCAGAACCUGGCUUGCUUUGUAGGUGGUGAAAACCCCAGCAACGGGUGCCAGAUCCAUUGAGACUAAGAGCUGAAGGCAACCAACGUCCUGGGAAACAAAAAGACUUGCCUGUCUGGCAUACUAAAGCCAAGAAGUAUACAGCUGGGAGAGACCCUGCACAUUGUCUAGCUCUGUAUCUUUUCAGAUGAUGAAAUGAGGCUCAGGGAGGUAGAGAUUUGCACACAGAAAGCCCUGGUAACCAGUAGCUAAGAUCUAAACACAGGUUUUUAUCAAAGACGAGGUCAGAUUUACAGACCCCAAGACUAAAGAAUUCUUAUCAUGCAUUAGGUCCAAAGAGACUGGGGGAGGGUAAGUACCGAUGCUAAUUACCGGUACCAUACCAGCGGUACUGCACUCUAGGUAUAACAAAUAUCAUGAUAUGUCUGGGAAUCAGAGCCCAUUAAAUACUAGGCUAUGUAACAAUUCUGAUAAUAGGAGCUAUUGAAAUAAGAAAACACUGCAAUUCUAUCAACACCUUCCCCAUAGUUGUGAGACCGUGUGCACACCCCGAUACAGUACAGGGUGAGGUUCUGGUUCUGCUCUCCUUGGCCAAGCUUGAGGAAGAGCCUGCCUCUCCAGGGGGUAACAGAAUCAGUGCUUCUCACUGCAACACUAGGAGCAUCUGGCACCGGCCGUGAGAGGCGCUCGUGCGAGACUUCUCCUUUGCCUUUGUGCACGGACUGCCUCUGGCGACCCUGUCAGUCUGGUAUCUUCCUCGUGUUCUUUAAUCCCCUGAGUCCCUCGGGGCCUCCAGAGGUUAAAACCGAGGGCUGCGUGAAGCUCGCACAGUCCAGAAGCACCUCCACGAGGCCACUCCCAGCUGGGCUCAGGUCCACCCUCUGGGGCCUCCCUGCCUGACGGCAACGCUUGCGUGUUGGCACUUGUGCGCUCCUCCAAGCUAGUUUCACCCGGGAUUUGGCUCGGUUUGCCCGCAGCAGCCCAACUCCCCGCUAAGCUCCCAGAACUAAGCGCGGGGACCUUCAACGGCCUUCCCGGUGGCUCCUCCUCCUCCAGAGGUGUCACCCUUCUGGGAAACGGUACUCCUCCCUCUCACCCCCGCCCAGCACUGCUGGGGGUGGGCGGGAACCGGUGCCAGCCGGUGAUUCCAGGUCGAGCCUCCCGCCCUCACCAAGCUUGACCCAGCCCAAACCCCUAAUAGCCACGCGCUGGGAGCCUCCCCACCGCGGGGUACCGGGCCCUCUCUACCACCGCGCGCCAGAAUGCACCUCUGUAAAAGACAACAAAAUAAGAACCAGCCAAGGAAAGCAAAUAAGUUUCUUGACUUCUUUUGAACGUGUGAGGACCAUUUGACUUGUCCACAUCCCAGAGAUCCUGUUUCCCAAGCAAACAUUUUCAGGAGUCUUUGAGGACAAUCUUCAGCAAAAUGAGAGAACAGACCAAGAAAAAGAAAAGCAUGAACUCAAGUGUAUCCAAACCAGGAGCACAGCUGAAGGAAGUCCCAGAAGGGCAGCUACCCAGCAGGCUCACAGAGCGACUGGCACAGAUGGGAGCAAGAAGGGCCCUCUUUUUCCAUAUCAUGUGAUUUUUAAAAGCAUAUGCUUGUAUUAUCUGAAAUACUUCAGAUAAAAAAAAAAAACCAGCAUACUUCAUGUUACAAACUUUCUUCUAAGCAUACACAAUCCUCCCUCUGCGUUUCUAUUUUUAAAACAUGGUGUGUUUAAGAAUUACUUAGUGGUAACAUCAGUCAAUACAAAAGCAUAUGAAAGUCUCCAGCUGCCUCCUACACGCCCAGGAGUCAAUCACUACUAGAGUUAUGCAUCUUCUCCAACUCUGGUAUGCAUAGUCUUUAUUAAAAUGUUUUACCAAAAACAAAAAAAAAAUCAUACUAUAUGUGUUCUUUCACAACUUGCUUUUUCACAGGGCGCUGUGUCACAGGUGUACCCCCUUGUCAAUGAGCACAUACUCACCUUAUUCUUUUUUAUGACUGUACAGGUUUCUGCAGACGGACAGACCACAAUUUAUUUAACCUGCACCUUAUUAAUAGAUAUUUAGAUUGCCUCCAAUUUUUGACUAAUGCAACAAAUGCUUCCAGAAACAGUCAGACACAUGCUUCUUUGUACAAGUAUUUUUUUAAGAUAAAUUUCAAGAUGUGAAAUUGCUGGUUCAAAGGACACAUGUGUUUUACAUUUUAAUAGAUUAGAAAGUGAAAACCCCUUCCCCCAAAAUGGGCUGUACUAUUUUACACUCACACUAAAAAUAUAUGAGUAGUCAUUUCCCUACAUUUUUACCAAUCACUGACAUUAUUAACCUUUUAAGGUUUUGUUUCAUGAAACCAGCAAA